GCCCAGCAUAAAAUACGUAAAAGAGCCAUAACAAAAAUGUAGUUUGCAUUUACAAAGUCAACAGGAAUGUUUACCUCAAAACCUUACGUAACCCGUCUCUUCCAUCUGAUGGUUAUGAUGUUUUUAAGACUAUCAUGUAUUGUAUUUCUUUCCAAGCAGACGCAAGGUAUGUACACGUCGGACUGUGUCUACAUCGCGUAUCACUGUUUUUACAUUGUUUACUUCGUUACACGUAACUUGAUAUUGGGCAUCGACA